GUUUUGAUAAAUCUCCACCAUGCUGUAUACGUGCGGGUUCCACAUUCCUUUGCUGAUAUUUUUAGUGUUCCAGGCCUCGGGCAGUAGGGGGAAUUUUGCAUAGAACAAGGAGCGGCCGAGGAAUGAACAUUUACUGGAACCCUGCGCACUCUGCCCUGUGGCCGUGAUGAUGUAAGCGCCGAUCAUCUGAUGGCAAACCGCAGAACAUAGUACACAGCUGAUUAAUGGAGCAAUUUACAAUGAAAUGUAUCAGCAAACGCCAGCUGGGAAAACCUUUCCAAAAUAAUGAAGAAGGAAACGGAUCUCUAUGCAAAGUGAUACGGCAUAAAAUAGUAAUAAAUAUUUA